CCUACGGGGGGCAGCAGUGAGGAAUAUUGGUCAAUGGCCGGAAGGCUGAACCAGCCAAGUCGCGUGAGGGACGACUGCCCUAUGGGUUGUAAACCUCUUUUAUAAGGGAAGAAUAAAUGCUACGUGUAGCAUGAUGCCUGUACCUUAUGAAUAAGCAUCGGCUAACUCCGUGCCAGCAGCCGCGGUAAUACGGAGGAUGCGAGCGUUAUCCGGAUUUAUUGGGUUUAAAGGGUGCGUAGGCGGUUUUUUAAGUUAGUGGUUAAACGUCGGGGCUUCACCUUGAUUUGCCAUUAAUACUGUAAGACUCGAGUUCAGACGAGGUAGGCGGAAUAAGUUAAGUAGCGGUGAAAUGCUUAGAUAUAACUUAGAACUCCGAUAGCGAAGGCAGCUUACCGGACUGCGACUGACGCUGAAGCACGAGAGCGUGGGUAGCGAACAGGAUUAGAUACCCUUGUAGUC
rnacentral:rRNA from 1 species